AUGAUCUCUCAACCGAUAACUGAUUUGAUUGAUUACAACAAUACCUUGUUACAACAACCUUGUCGUGACAUGGGUCAGAGACUAAGUGACCCUGUCCCUGAGGUAUCCCCUAGGGAGAAUCCAAAGGAGACACAGGAACAUAAAGAUAAACCCAAGGAGAAGAGGAUCCCUCAAGCCCUGACCUUUCUUCAGCUGUUGACACUGCUGAGCUGCGUCAAGGUGAAGAAAACACCCUUUGAUCCCUCCCAGAGUGGUGAGGGGAGAAAGGGAACGACGAUAAACGAGACGAACAACAAUAAUGACUCUGAUACUGGCUUGGACUACUCUGCAGGUGACGUGAAAAGGAUCAAGGACAAGAGUAAAGGAAAGGUUGGGGGAGAGAAACAUUGCAUUGAAUCUCAGGACCACAAAUGCAGAACCACACCGGAAAAAGAAAAAUACAUUAAACAAAGACCUAACUCGGUCUCCCCCAAGGAGAAAGCAAAGGAGACCCAGCAGAAAGAGAAGAAGAGCACCCAUCCAGCUGUGGCGGCCCUGCAGCUGUUCACUCUCUUCUGCUGUGGUGGGAAAGUCAAGCUGAGGAAGACUCGUCCCUCUCAGAACAGACAGAGUAGAAAGGACCAGGACAAAGAUAAUGCAUCUGAUACUGGCUCGGACUUGUCUGGAGGUGAUGUUACAACCAAAAGGGUCAAGCACAAGAGUAAUGGAAAGGUGGGGAGGGAGAAAGACCGGACUGAAGUUCAGCUGUUGAAAUCAUCUCAAGACCACAAACCCAGAAGUACAACACCAGAAACAGACAAGGGAACUAAUUCGGGACAAAGACCUAACUCUAUAAAUCGAAGGACACCACGACAAGUGAAGACCCCUGUGGAGGAAAUUUACAUAAUACCUGACUCUCCGACUCUACAACGUGCCCACAGCUCCCUCUCCCAGUUAUCCCUGGCUAGGAACCUGGCCAUCCUCCCCCUGGAGUGGCAGCUACCUGGAGUCCCUCUGACCACCUCGUCUAUGGCAACUAGGACAGAGAGAAAGCCAUCCUCUACCAACAGUUCGACACAUGCACAGAUGGAAACACAGACAACAGAUAUGAACACAGACUCACAGACCACUGCCACCUCUCAGAGCCAGAUCUCCACGGUCUCAUCGGAGACCAUGAUAGAUGUUCACACGUCAGACUCCAUUACCCAGACCUCCACUCUUGACAUGGCACUGACCCCUGAGAGCACUAAGGACAUGAUCACUACUGAUGAGGAUGUGAAGGAUGACUCUGCUAAAGAUUUGAUCUCCACCCUAACAGACACCUCUAUGGAGAAAUCCAUCAGUGAGAUCAGCCUGAAAGACCUCAUCGCUGAGUAUGAAGAUGACAAUGAGCUGAAGGAUAUGGCUGCCUCCGCUAUCCCUGAUACUGAUAAUGCCAAUGAGGAUGCAAAGCUGCUGGAGCAUGCAGCACUUUAUGACUUCAUGUUGACAGUGGAGACCGAGCUGCCUCUGUAUCUCUGAAGAGUCAAUAGGCCUAAUGAACAUUUCAAUGUAGCAAAAGCUAUACUAUGAUCAAUUAAUAAAACAUUUUUUAUGCAGCAAAUUUUCACUACUGUU
rnacentral:lncRNA from 8 species